rnacentral:rRNA from 1 species
UACGGAGGAUGCAAGCGUUAUCCGGAAUGAUUGGGCGUAAAGCGUCCGCAGGUGGCAAUGUAAGUCUGCUGUCAAAGCGUCUGGCUCAACCAGAUAAAGGCAGUGGAAACUACAUAGCUAGAGUAAGGUAGGGGUAGAGGGAAUUCCUGGUGUAGCGGUGAAAUGCGUAGAGAUCAGGAAGAACACCGGUGGCGAAAGCGGCAUCCUGGACCGACACUGACGCUGAGGAGCGAAAGCCAGGGGAGCAAACGGG